AACGAACGCUGGCGGCAUGCCUAACACAUGCAAGUCGAACGAGACCUUCGGGUCUAGUGGCGCACGGGUGCGUAACGCGGGGUAACCUGCCCUUAGGUUCGGAAUAACUCCCCGAAAGGGGUGCUAAUACCGGUUAAUGUCUUCGGACCAAAGAUUUAUCGCCUUUGGAUGGGCCCGCGUUGGAUUAGCUAGUUGGUAGGGUAAAAGCCUACCAAGGCGACGAUCCAUAGCUGGUCUGAGAGGAUGAUCAGCCACACUGGGACUGAGACACGGCCCAGACUCCUACGGGAGGCAGCAGUGGGGAAUAUUGGACAAGGGGCGAAAGCCUGAUCCAGCAAUGCCGCGUGAGUGAUGAAGGCCUUAGGGUUGUAAAGCUCUUUUACCCGGGAUGAUAAUGACAGUACCGGGAGAAUAAGCUCCGGCUAACUCCGUG
rnacentral:rRNA from 1 species